UUUUCUAAAUUUCUAGCCUUUAUAUUUUUCUUAUACAUUUUAUCCAAGAACCUUUGCAAAUAAAAAAUUCUAAUAAUAAGAACGUAAGAAAAAUAUUCAAAUGGACUAGAAAAUAGAGAAAAACCUUUUUAUGCGAGAGCCUUUUACGAGUAUGGAUCUCAACUCUCAAUGAAAGCACCAAUUUGUGGAUGCAAAUUUCUUUCUCCUUGAUCUUGGACAAUUUUGCACCUACAAAACAAUUAACACCUUAGGUUAAGGCCAAGAGCCUCACGCACCCACGAUGAAUGGGGGGGCUUUGGCCGAGGAACCUCCGAUGCCAAAGUUAGAAUUUAGAGAGAAAGAGUGUUUAGAGAAUUUUGGGAUUUUUGCCAAAGUGUUGGCAUGGCCUUUUGGUGAAAAUGGGAGCCUAUAUAUAGGGAUAGGCCGGUCCUCUUUGGAGAAAAGAGUGGCCGGCCAUAGGUUGGUUUUUUGGAAUGAAUUUUGGUUUAAUUAGCCAAUUUAUUAUGAUUAAUUGGCUAAUUAAACAUAAAGGGAAUGUUUUGGUGUUUAUGGGAUUUAUUAGCUAGCUAAUUAGUGUAAAAAAAAGGAGAAAAUGAUAGAAAAAGGUAGAAAAUAUGAUGGAUUCUUUCUUGGAUGGGGUUGGCCAGCCAUUGAUAUGGUUUUGGGAUUAAAUGGGUGACUUAAUUGAUAUUUAAUGGAUUAAUUGGGUAAUUAAUCCAUUAAUUAACCAAUUAACAUAAUAAUUUGGAGGUUACCUUGCAAAAGGGAAUUUGAUGAGAUAGACUUUGAAUUGUUUACCUCUUUUGGAGCAUCUUUGACUUGGUUGAAAAAAGAUUGUCGACUGCUUGCGCGUAGAGAUCCCAGUGUACCUCAAGGGUAUUUUGGUCUUUUUGUCUAACAAUCCACGUGUUGCCUUGUGAUUAUUUUUGGCUCCACAAUAACGUUAGAGCAGUGCCACUUGUCCAUCCUAUGCUGAAAACCCUAGGGUGGAUGGGUCAGAGCUUCAUCGUCCUAUAGUGGCUGCGCAGCUUGUACUUGAACUCCUUGAAUCAAUCAUUCCACAACCGGGUUAUGUAGUCAGACAUACCCAACACUUCUAGGUUAAUCUCAAAAUUGCUCUGACAUAGACAAACCAUUUUGUCGGGCAAAUAUUUUCGCUGGUAAAUAUAAGCAAGACAUAGAGCAAAACUUUUGUCAGUGAUAUUUUUUCACUUGUCAUUGUGGACCUUUCCCCAAAGGGUAGGCACUGGACUUGACGACGGAAAAUAUAAGAAAGACGUCGAGCAAAAGUUUGUCAGUGUUAUUUUUUGACAAGUCAUUGUUGACCUUUGCCUAGCGGUGUAGACACUUGACCGGACGAGGGCAAAAGUCCUUAAGUUGAGGAAUUGAGUUUUUGUCGGCAAAAGCUUUACACAAUACGCGCCAUAUUUUUUUCUUGGUGUCGAAAGUUUGCCUGAUAAAUUAUAUAUGGCCCUUUGAAAUACUUUAAUCAUGCAAAGCCUUUGGCAAAAUUCUAAAUGUUGACCAGCUUUACCCGGUCAUUGUAUAUUUUUGGGUAAAUUAACUUGACUCGAUUUAAUAUGAUUUGUCAGGCAAAAGUUAGGAGGGCCAAUUAUAUUUUCUGGUAGUGUGUCUACGUGUUUUUUUUUAUUUGUCAGGCAUUCUGAGCUUUUCAAACCAUCAUGUUGUUCAUAAUGAAAGCUUCAAAUUAUAAGGCAAUUUUUUUUUCUUUUGAACAAAAGAUAUUAUCUAUGCUAAGGGGGAGAUGAUGAGCUUAGUCUCACAAUGGGCUAGUAAUAAGGCAAAAUUUUCGGCCAAUGCAUAUUUUUGGGUAAAUUAACUUGACUCGAUUUAAUAUGAUUUUUCGGGCAAAAGUUAGGCUGGCCAAUUAUAUUUUCUGGUAGUGUGUCUAUGUGUUUUUUUUUUUUUUUUGUUAGGCAUUCUGAGCUUUUCAAACCAUCAUGUUGUUCAUAAUGAAA
rnacentral:lncRNA from 1 species